GGUGGCUCAGUGGUAGAGCAUUUGCCUUGCAUGCAUGAGGCCCUGGGUUCAAUUCCUCAGCACCA
rfam:Dipodomys ordii contig_21990, whole genome shotgun sequence.